CCGCGUGUGUGAAGAAGGCUUCGGGUUGUAAAGCACUUUCAGUCGUGAGGAAGGUAGUGUAGUUAAUAGCUGCAUUAUUUGACGUUAGCGACAGAAGAAGCACCGGCUAACUCCGUGCCAGCAGCCGCGGUAAUACGGAGGGUGCGAGCGUUAAUCGGAAUUACUGGGCGUAAAGCGCAUGCAGGUGGUUUGUUAAGUCAGAUGUGAAAGCCCGGGGCUCAACCUCGGAAUAGCAUUUGAAACUGGCAGACUAGAGUACUGUAGAGGGGGGUAGAAUUUCAGGUGUAGCGGUGAAAUGCGUAGAGAUCUGAAGGAAUACCGGUGGCGAAGGCGGCCCCCUGGACAGAUACUGACACUCAGAUGCGAAAGCGUGGGGAGCAAACAGGAUUAGAUACCCUGGUAGUCCACGCCGUAAACGAUGUCUACUUGGAGGUUGUGGCCUUGAGCCGUGGCUUUCGGAGCUAACGCGUUAAGUAGACCGCCUGGGGAGUACGGUCGCAAGAUUAAAACUCAAAUGAAUUGACGGGGGCCCGCACAAGCGGUGGAGCAUGUGGUUUAAUUCGAUGCAACGCGAAGAACUUACCUACUCUUGACAUCCAGAGAACUUUCCAGAGAUGGAUUGGUGCCUUCGGGAACUCUGAGACAGGUGCUGCAUGGCUGUCGUCAGCUCGUGUUGUGAAAUGUUGGGUUAAGUCCCGCAACGAGCGCAACCCUUAUCCUUGUUUGCCAGCACUUCGGGUGGGAACUCCAGGGAGACUGCCGGUGAUAAACCGGAGGAAGGUGGGGACGACGUCAAGUCAUCAUGGCCCUUACGAGUAGGGCUACACACGUGCUACAAUGGCGCAUACAGAGGGCGGCCAACUUGCGAGAGUGAGCGAAUCCCAAAAAGUGCGUCGUAUCCGGAUCGGAGUCUGCAACUCGACUCCGUGAAGUCGGAAUCGCUAGUAAUCGUGGAUCAGAAUGCCACGGUGAAUACGUUCCCGGGCCUUGUACACACCGCCCGUCACACCAUGGGAGUGGGCUGCAAAAGAAGUAGGUAGUUUAACCUUCGGGAGGACGCUUACCACUUUGUGGUUCAUGACUGGGGUGAAGUCG
rnacentral:rRNA from 1 species